GUCCUUGUACCACAAUGGAUAUUGCGUUGGACUUCUAAUCCAAAGGUCGUGGGUUCGAAUCCCACCUGGGAUG